ensembl:lncRNA
UUUAAAUCAAUUGAAAGAUGCCCUCCAGAGAAAUGGGUGCUGCCAGCCCUCCCGCCGGUGGAAUAUCUGGUUGGAAUUGAAGGGACGGCAGGACACACACACAGUGACUGGGACAUAUAGACCAUCUAGAUGACGACUACGUGCGUGAAUGGCAAUGCAGGAAGUACCAAAGUGUGUUUUUGUGCGUGCGGCAUCCAUUUGAGCUGUUUCCCCUCCCUCCUCCGCUGGGUGAGGACACGGCGAGAUGAAUCGAAGCACCUACACCUACGGCAGUGCUGCUGUCUAGAUCUGCUGCUGUCUCUAACCUUGUCCUCUUUAACCUUCACACCUCCUGAUUUCCCUCCUGUGAAACCACACACUGACUGGGACAUGUGCUAUAGGUUGAGCUUCAGUAUCAGCAAACUGGUUUGAUAUUGGGAGUGGCGAAAUAGCAUGGUACCGGUGAUGGUAACACACCUGUCAGUCAUGGCAUCUCUGUAUCCACUUCAACACAGUAAAGAGUGGUGGACUUGCUAGCAACACAAUAGAGGAUCUGACUAGAGGCCCGGCAGUGGGUCCGUAGGUCAAAGCCCAUAAUUGUUUCAUUACCCACACUUCCUCUUCCUCGAUCACUGGUAUACACCAACGCUCAAACAUCCACUCCGCUGCUACUGCAGCGUCCACAAUGUGAUCAUUCAGAAGACGUUGUUUUUUUAUCAUAGGAUAGACUGACGCAUCACACAAACCAAACAUUUGCACCCCUUUUUGUCUGCCUUCAACAGAAUAAUGUAGAAAAAUAGAGUCAUGAGCAACAUUUCCUCAAUUUAAACCAAUCAGAAAAUUAUUUAUAGGCACAGAGACUGUGUGAACGAGGGCUAUAAAGGUGUGUGUGUGUGUGUGUGUGUGUGUGUGUGUAUGGAGGGGAGCUGGGACUGAAAGCAUGGAUGGAGGAGGGGUAGUAUAAAGGGGUCUUGGGCUGGUCUCUUCUCAACAGCAUCACUACAGUAUGACAUGCUUUAUGGCUCUGGUCACCAUGGUGGCCCUCACAGGGGCUGUUUAUGGAUUCCCAUAGAAUAGAAAAUCAUUGCUGCUUUGCUCUGUGGAGUAGCCGGCCAAAAACAACACCACCAUCAGAGCACAGACCACAGCACUUUCUCUCUGCCCCGGCUCCCUCAGCCAUAACUCAGCACACGGUCUGUUUUUGCGAGAGAAAACAAUUAUUGUAUUCAAAUCAAUGCCAUAAGAUGAAGAUAAAUCACUGGUGCAACUGUUUAAUUCCGUGUUGAUGUAUGAUUUUUUAAAAAUGUC